rnacentral:rRNA from 1 species
UACAGAGGGGGCAAGCGUUGUUCGGAAUUACUGGGCGUAAAGGGCUCGUAGGCGGCCAUGCGUGUCUUCCGUGAAAUCCCUCGGCUUAACUGAGGACGUGCGGAAGAAACUGCAAGGCUCGAGUCCGGGAGAGGGGGGUGGAAUUCCCAGUGUAGCGGUGAAAUGCGUAGAUAUUGGGAGGAACACCGGUGGCGAAGGCGGCCCCCUGGACCGGUACUGACGCUGAGGCGCGAAAGCGUGGGGAGCGAACAGG